rnacentral:rRNA from 1 species
UAUUGCACAAUGGGCGAAGGCCUGAUGCAGCGACGCCGCGUGAGUGAAGAAGUAUCUCGGUAUGUAAAGCUCUAUCAGCAGGGACGAAAAUGACCGUACCUGACUAAGAAGCCCCGGCUCACUACGUGCCAGCAGCCGCGGUAAUACGUAGGGGGCAAGCGUUAUCCGGAUUUACUGGGUGUAAAGGGAGCGUAGACGGCGAUGCAAGUCUGAAGUGAAAGGCGGGGGCCCAACCCCCGGACUGCUUUGGAAACUGUAUAGCUGGAGUGCAGGAGAGGUAAGUGGAAUUCCUAGUGUAGCGGUGAAAUGCGUAGAUAUUAGGAGGAACACCAGUGGUGAAGGCGGCUUACUGGACUGUAACUGACGUUGAGGCUCGAAAGCGUGGGGAGCAAACAG